GACGAACGCUGGCGGCGUGCCUAAUACAUGCAAGUCGUGCGGACUUAUCUUCGGAUAAGUUAGCGGCGGACGGGUGAGUAACACGUGGGCAACCUGCCUGUAAGACUGGGAUAACUCCGGGAAACCGGUGCUAAUACCAGAUACAAUCAAAGACCGCCUGGUCUUUGAUGGAAAGGUCUUGUACCGCUUACAGAUGGGCCCGCGGCGCAUUAGCUAGUUGGUGGGGUAAUGGCCUACCAAGGCGACGAUGCGUAGCCGACCUGAGAGGGUGAUCGGCCACACUGGGACUGAGACACGGCCCAGACUCCUACGGGAGGCAGCAGUAGGGAAUCUUCCGCAAUGGACGAAAGUCUGACGGAGCAACGCCGCGUGAGUGAUGAAGGCUUUCGGGUCGUAAAACUCUGUUGUCAGGGAAGAACAUCCGGGAUAACCUCCCGGUCUGACGGUACCUGAUCAGAAAGCCCCGGCUAACUACGUGCCAGCAGCCGCGGUAAUACGUAGGGGGCAAGCGUUGUCCGGAAUUAUUGGGCGUAAAGCGCGCGCAGGCGGUUUCUUAAGUCUGGUGUGAAAGCCCGCAGCUCAACUGCGGAGGGCCACUGGAAACUGGGAAGCUUGAGUGUAGGAGAGGAGAGCGGAAUUCCACGUGUAGCGGUGAAAUGCGUAGAUAUGUGGAGGAACACCCGUGGCGAAAGCGGCUCUCUGGCCUAUAACUGACGCUGAGGCGCGAAAGCGUGGGGAGCGAACAGGAUUAGAUACCCUGGUAGUCCACGCCGUAAACGAUGAGUGCUAGGUGUUGGGGACUCCAAUCCUCAGUGCCGCAGCUAACGCAAUAAGCACUCCCCCUGGGGAGUACGGCCGCAAGGCUG
rnacentral:rRNA from 1 species